rnacentral:rRNA from 1 species
AAUAUUGGACAAUGGGGGCAACCCUGAUCCAGCCAUGCCGCGUGUGUGAAGAAGGUCUUCGGAUUGUAAAGUACUGUAAGAGGGGAGGAAGGGCGGUAGGUUAAUACCCGGAAGUUUUGAUGUUACCAACAGAAUAAGCACCGGCUAACGCUGUGCCAGCAGACGCGGUAAUACAGAGGGGGCAAGCGUUAAUCGGAAUUACUGGGCGUAAAGCGCGCGUAGGUGGUUCAGUAAGAUGGGUGUGAAAACCCCGGGCUUAACCUGGGAACUGCUUUCAUAACUGCUGAGCUAGAGUACGGUAGAGGGUAGUGGAAUUUCCUGUGUAGCGGUGAAAUGCGUAGAUAUAGGAAGGAACACCAGUGGCGAAGGCGACUACCUGGACUGAUACUGACACUGAGGUGCGAAAGCGUGGGGAGCAAACAG